UGCUGGGGGUUGAGGGACGCGUUGCGAGCCCCGGAUACAUUGUACCCUGGGGGUACAUAAUGAAGGAUGCUGUACCUGAAAGGAAAAGGGCAUCUCCAAAAGGGGACUUCGCGGGUGGAAUUUCCUUCCAAAAUCCUCGAGGAACAAGGUGUAUUUCCGACCUGGAUUAAUGAAUCCCCCCUCCUAUCCCGCACUUCCUGUGGAAACAGUGUCAGGAUGUGGCGCGGACCUAUGUGCGUCCCUUAUACCAGGACUUGCCUUCAACGCUGAAGGUGAACCCUGGGUCAUCCUCGCUGUAUUCAGGCGGCGCUGCAAAGGCUUCUGGGCAGCCAAUAGGCCCUUGAGCGCCUCAGCCCCAUCUUGCUUCAGUAGGCAAACGGACGGGUGUCUUCAUCCACCUCCUAGGCCGUGGUCUACCCUUCGUUCAAAUGUUUCUUCCUGCUAGCUGACUGUCCAGGUCCUUAGCUGUAUCACAUUGUUCAAAUGUGUGUGCGCAGGUGUUUCUUUUUCAACUAAUCAUGCAGGAAGUGGCGGGAUGCCUUACUGCCAUUAUUUGCUGAGUAUUUCCAGAUGGAACUGUAGUUGAUAGCCAAUAAAUUUGGUACGUUUUUAUCGGGAUGCGCAUGCCAUAGAUCGUCCCUGAGAUAAUGCUUUGCAAUGUGGAACCUGAAACACCUAUGUAUAAGCCCAAGCCUUUCAUUAAUAUUAACUGUGAGACCCCUGGAAGCUACUACUUUGUGUGAGCCUGUUUUCUCCGCCCUCAAACAGUGGAUAUAAUACCCCCUUGCAAGGCUGUGAGAUUAAAUGGAUAACUGUGCAUAAUGCUAAGCAUGGUGUCUGGGACGUAAGAGGUUCCUUAUAUCCCAUUAGUUCACUAGGUGGGAUCACCAAGUUGAAAUUCAUUUUUUAAUAUUUUGCUUGUUGGAGUACUCACAACUCAACUUCUCUGGCUAAUUUGAUGUUUAAUUUGAAAGGUAAUGACACUAUUUUGUAACAUUUUUAGAUGCUUAAGGGAAAUUUGAAAUGCAAAGUGGAACAACAUUAAAAGGAAACUCAUUUGUAAAAUAAAGAAAAACAAAAUCUAUGCAAGCCAAAGAAGUCAUGAAUGCUGAGGAAGCAAAAAUUGUGAUUUUCCCCUCUCCAAUCCCACUGUUCAUUUAUCUUUAUUU
rnacentral:lncRNA from 1 species